ACACCGGCAGCUCGAGUGGUAGCUGUUUUUAUUGGGCCUAAAGCGUUCGUAGCCGGUUUGAUAAGUCUCUGGUGAAAUCCCACAGCUUAACUGUGGGAAUUGCUGGAGAUACUAUCAUGACUCGAGGUCGGGAGAGGCUGGAGGUACUCCCAGGGUAGGGGUGAAAUCCUGUAAUCCUGGGAGGACCACCUGUGGCGAAGGCGUCCAGCUGGAACGAACCUGACGGUGAGGGACGAAAGCCAGGGGCGCGAACCGGAUUAGAUACCCGGGUAGUCCUGGCCGUAAACGAUGUGGACUUGGUGUUGGGAUGGCUUCGAGCUGCCCCAGUGCCGAAGGGAAGCUGUUAAGUCCACCGCCUGGGAAGUACGGCCGCAAGGCUGAAACUUAAAUGAAUUGGCGGGG
rnacentral:rRNA from 1 species